CAGGCUACUGUAAACAUCCUUGACUGGAAGCUGGUUUUAGGUUCUGGGGCUUUCAGUCGGAUGUUUGCAGCAGCCAACU
rnacentral:pre_miRNA from 1 species